rnacentral:misc_RNA from 1 species
UGCGUCUGUUGGCUCGCGACAUGAACCUUGAGACUUCCCAGACUGUAAUGGUUGGCCCCUACUUGAGCCCUGAAGCUCGAGAGAGGUUCAAGUUUGACUAUAAUUUAUUCAAUGUUGGCACCAUGAAGCUGCCUAUUGACCUCCCAGGUUUCGCCUUUAGAAAUGCCAGGCUCGCAGUUGCCCGCCUUGCCCAGACGCUAGCCGGAUGUACUACACAGAGC